GGAUGAAGAACGCAGUAAAAUGCGAUAAGUAAUGUGAAUUGCAGAAUUCAGUGAAUCAUCGAAUCUUUGAACGCACAUUGCGCCCGCCAGUAUUCUGGCGGGCAUGCCUGUUCGAGCGUCAUUUCAACCCUCAAGCACAGCUUGGUGUUGGGACUCGCGUUAAUUCGCGUUCCCCAAAUUGAUUGGCGGUCACGUCGAGCUUCCAUAGCGUAGUAGUAAAACCCUCGUUACUGGUAAUCGUCGCGGCCACGCCGUUAAACCCCAACUUCUGAAUGUUGACCUCGGAUCAGGUAGGAAUACCCGCUGAACUUAAGCAUAUCAAUAAGCGGAGGA
rnacentral:misc_RNA from 1 species